ensembl:lncRNA
AUUCGUUUACAUGGCAGCCCUGAAUUUGGGUAACAGCAACCUGAAACGGGCUUCUGGCCGUGUACCUGCACAGACGCAGCCUACUCAGCAUCUCCAAGUGAAGAGCUUCGGAAAAACCGUAGCCAAACCCCAGUGCGUUUCUCAGGGUUGCGACCGCUUUUAAUCCUUAUAUUACAGAUAGAACACAAAUACAAAUUAUAUUUGUGCUGCCUUAAACUGAAGCGCUACGUAUAUGUUUUCAAUACGAAAGAACAAGUACUGAAGGCGUUCUCCAAACGAAGUAACCCGCGUCGUAAGCAGAGGUGUACAGCGGGAAUCCUCAUCCUUGGUGCUGUCAGGCAGAUCUCUAUGUAAUCAUUCCCUUCAUCCCUCCUGCUUUUCCCACUCUUCGCCUCACGCCGACAAUUGCUCCACACGGGGUAUGAGCAAUAUUCCCAUCAGUUGUACCACGCUCUUCACGUGAGCUGGAAAGCAAGAAUCCUCCCGCCCUGUCCCAGGUCAUGAAUGACUGCUCAAAGAGCGCAGCAAAGAUUAGCACAGCUUCAAAACAGCCCAGCACAUCCCAGAAGGACUGGACAGUGGCCGUCCUAUGAUUCUGUGAAUGCUGCUUGACAGAGCUCCAAGAAACAACACUACAGCAGGAGCAGGAUGCCGCCAUGAUUCUGUAACUCCACGGGAGCUGGCAGCCAUGGGAGUCGUGCUGCCAGUGCCGUUUGCGAUGUAUCGCUGGCUUGACUGCGCUAGAUCAGAGCACUCAGCAUUUCCCCUCCACUGUGGCCAUGCCUUGAGUGCAGCUCUGAGGUGCCAGGAGUGACAUAUAAAUGGGAUAGCAAGCACUAAACCCCAGGCUGUGGUCCUCUCAACAGGCAGUUAUGCUUCCCUUCCGAAAUUAUACAGACUUCGGAUGUAUUUCAGAAAGUUUGCUUAGGAAGUGCCUGAAACUGCAACAUAGUGAGAUUUGUUGCCAAGGAAAUCUGUCUGUGCAGCCCAGCUGAUGGCUGCAGCACUAUCUGCUUGCAGAACCUGGUGGGAAGAUGAUAGUUCUUGGCAAGAUGUGGUCAAACAACUAAUUAGAAGCCCCUAAGAGAUUUCAGACUGUGAACAGGCACUGGUCAUCCCACCUAGGAAUUGAUGCCAAGUAUCCAACCAACAGAAGUAUUCUGUAUGAUAAAUAUUUAAAUAAUUGAGGUGUGAAAGGAGAGAGCUGGAAGAUUCCAAGCAAAUGGGAUGGCAUCUCGACUCCCCUUUCCAAAUUGUUCCCAGGACUUUGUGUUGUUUGGCCAUUGUUGAUACCACCACUGCUGCUUCCCACGGUCUGUGACACAGAUCAGAUCUACAAGAUUUCAUCACACCUCAUAGGUGUGUGCCUGCCCCAUAAGUAAAAUGGGAUCGUGAUAGACAUUGUCACUGCAGAGAGCAGAGCUGCCCCCACAUGAGCACGAACCUGGGAACUAACAGAUAUGAAUGGAUUUUCCAGGUCAAAAUAGCACAGUCCAUGUGACAAGUUGCCAUGGCAAGGGAUUGUUUUGAUCAUACAAUCAUAGAAUUGUUAAAAUUGGAAGAGAUCUCUAAGAUCACGUAGUCUAACAGUCAGCCCAACCCCACCAUGCCCACUAACCACAUCCCUCGGUGCCACAUCCACACGGCUCUGGAACACCUCCAGGGAUGGUGACUCCACCACCUCUCUGGGCAGCCUGUGCCGCUGCAGCAUCACCAGAAAUUAUUCUUAAAAUUCAACCUGAUGAUCACCUCAAAGACAAUCCAGUCUAGUGGCUUGGUGUGAUGUUGAUAUGGCUUUCAGCAGGCAACAGCCACGCUACCACUUGUCUGCACUGGAUUCCAAGCUGGAGCUGUGAUGACCAUUAAUAAGAGUUUGAAAGAGCAGCGCUGAGUCAACCUGGACUACCCACUGCGACAACCUGGACUAUCCUAAUGUGAAUAUUCACCUUCCUAUACCCUGGC